UGAGAUGUGCAUGAGAUGGUAAAGGUUACGUAAGUAAUAUCGCAGGUUCGAUUCCUGCCAUCUCAA
rfam:Streptococcus phocae strain ATCC 51973 contig_27, whole genome shotgun sequence.